rnacentral:rRNA from 1 species
UUACCCGCCAGGGGACUACAAGCACUAGCUUAAAACCCAAAGGACUUGGCGGUGCCUCAAACCCAUCUAGAGGAGCCUGUUCUACAACUGAUAAUCCUCGUUAAACCUCACCACCCCUUGUUAACCCCGCCUAUAUACCGCCGUCGCCCGCUCACAUUGUGAAAGAUAAAUAGUGAGCCCAAUGAGAAUCAUCCCAAAACGUCAGGUCGAGGUGUAGCGAAUGGGGUGGGAAGAAAUGGGCUACAUUUUCUGACCAUCAGAAUAUUACGAAAAAUGCCAUGAAAUAUGGCGUACAGAAGGUGGAUUUAGCAGUAAAGAGAAAACAGAGUGUUCUCUUGAAAUCGGCUCUGAGGCGCGUACAC